rnacentral:lncRNA from 1 species
GGUAUUGAUGACAAUUGCAAUCUUGUAAUUAUUUGAAGAUGAUGAGGGUGAGAGAGUAAAAAUAUCAUUUUCGAAAAAAAUAAAAAAAAUUUGAUGGUAUUUUCGUGAAUUAUAUGAACUUGUGGGGUGAAUAGGGCAAAACUAAUUUCCAAAAAAAAGGAGGUUAGUUUUGUGUUUAACAUUGAGUUUUAGGUCAAUUUUGCCAAAGCCCUAUAUUAAUUUAGGUAAUUUGGAAUGAGACACUUUAAUUUAUUUUUUUAUUUUAUUCUAAGCACAAUAUUUCUUAAGUUAUACAUAAUCUUCAUAAAAUAUAUUUACAUAUCUAAG